UGUAACACGGGUCAUGCGCAAAGAUUACCACCAGGGGGCAGACUAGAGCAUCCUUGGGAUUCUGUGAUCAGUCAUCCCUCCUCGCUGGUGAAUGGAGACAGUGGUCACGACUCUCCCCAGAGAAGGUGGUGUGGGGCCAUCACGGAAGAUGCUGCUGCUUCUGCUGCUUCUGGGGCCAGGCUCCAGGCUUAGUGCUGUCGUCUCUCAACAUCCGAGCAGGGUUAUCUGUAAGAGUGGAACCUCUGUGAACAUCGAGUGCCGUUCCCUGGACUUUCAGGCCACAACUAUGUUUUGGUAUCGUCAGCUCCGGAAACAGAGCCUCAUGCUGAUGGCAACUUCCAAUGAGGGCUCCAAGGUCACAUACGAGCAAGGCGUCAAGGAGGACAAGUUUCCCAUCAACCAUCCAAACCUGACCUUCUCCGCUCUGACAGUGACCAGUGCCCAUCCUGAAGACAGCAGCUUCUACAUCUGCAGUGCUAGAGACACAGUGCCAGGAGGGGAUCAGAGACCGCGGCAAGAACUCCUGCAGCUGCUCCUCCACCCCAGCAGGCCCACUGAGUGCUGAGAAGGGAGGCAUGGAGAAUGGAAAACCACAGCUUUCCUGACUGAGACAUC